GACGAACGCUGGCGGCGUGCUUAACACAUGCAAGUCGAGCGGUAAGGCCCUUUCGGGGGUACACGAGCGGCGAACGGGUGAGUAACACGUGGGUGACCUGCCCUCAGCUCUGGGAUAAGCCCGGGAAACUGGCUCUAAUACCGGAUAUGACUUCAUGACGCAUGUUGUGGAGUGGAAAGCCUUGUGCGGCUGAGGAUGGGCCCGCGGCCUAUCAGCUUGUUGGUGGGGUGAUGGCCUACCAAGGCGACGACGGGUAGCCGGCCUGAGAGGGCGACCGGCCACACUGGGACUGAGACACGGCCCAGACUCCUACGGGAGGCAGCAGUGGGGAAUCUUGCGCAAUGGGCGAAAGCCUGACGCAGCGACGCCGCGUGAGGGAUGACGGCCUCGGUGUAACGU
rnacentral:rRNA from 1 species